AUCCAGCUGACGAGUCCCAAAUUGGACGAAAUGCGCAUCCUAGAU
rnacentral:hammerhead_ribozyme from 1 species